UGUGUUUCGUUCUCUUCAGCUUUAUGGUUUUUGGUUAUUUAGAUUCACUGAUUGUUGCGUGUAUGUGGUGAACUUCAAUGAAACGUAAACAAAAAAAAAGAAGGAAUACAUGGAAUGACAUCCUCCGACUGCUUUUUUACGUUUCUUUAUGCUUUUUUUCGAAUUGGAAGGAAAUAAAAAAGAAGAAGAAGCACCUAGUGUGACGUGUUA
rnacentral:ribozyme from 1 species